GCUUAACACAUGCAAGUCGAGCGGGGAAGGUUGCUUCGGUAACUGACCUAGCGGCGGACGGGUGAGUAAUGCUUAGGAAUCUGCCAUUUAGUGGGGGACAACAUUCCGAAAGGAAUGCUAAUACCGCAUACGUCCUACGGGAGAAAGCAGGGGAUCUUCGGACCUUGCGCUAAAUGAUGAGCCUAAGUCGGAUUAGCUAGUUGGUGGGGUAAAGGCCUACCAAGGCGACGAUCUGUAGCGGGUCUGAGAGGAUGAUCCGCCACACUGGGACUGAGACACGGCCCAGACUCCUACGGGAGGCAGCAGUGGGGAAUAUUGGACAAUGGGCGCAAGCCUGAUCCAGCCAUGCCGCGUGUGUGAAGAAGGCCUUUUGGUUGUAAAGCACUUUAAGCGAGGAGGAGGCUACCUAGAUUAAUACUUUAGGAUAGUGGACGUUACUCGCAGAAUAAGCACCGGCUAACUCUGUGCCAGCAGCCGCGGUAAUACAGAGGGUGCGAGCGUUAAUCGGAUUUACUGGGCGUAAAGCGUGCGUAGGCGGCUUUUUAAGUCGGAUGUGAAAUCCCCGAGCUUAACUUGGGAAUUGCAUUCGAUACUGGGAAGCUAGAGUAUGGGAGAGGAUGGUAGAAUUCCAGGUGUAGCGGUGAAAUGCGUAGAGAUCUGGAGGAAUACCGAUGGCGAAGGCAGCCAUCUGGCCUAAUACUGACGCUGAGGUACGAAAGCAUGGGGAGCAAACAGGAUUAGAUACCCUGGUAGUCCAUGCCGUAAACGAUGUCUACUAGCCGUUGGGGCCUUUGAGGCUUUAGUGGCGCAGCUAACGCGAUAAGUAGACCGCCUGGGGAGUACGGUCGCAAGACUAAAACUCAAAUGAAUUGACGGGGGCCCGCACAAGCGGUGGAGCAUGUGGUUUAAUUCGAUGCAAC
rnacentral:rRNA from 1 species